rnacentral:rRNA from 1 species
UACAGAGGGUGCGAGCGUUAAUCGGAAUUACUGGGCGUAAAGCGCGCGUAGGCGGAUCGCUAAGUCAGGGGUGAAAUCCCAGGGCUCAACCCUGGAACUGCCUUUGAUACUGACGAUCUGGAGAUCGGGAGAGGUUGGUGGAAUUCCGAGUGUAGAGGUGAAAUUCGUAGAUAUUCGGAGGAACACCAGAAGCGAAGGCGGCCAACUGGCCCGAUACUGACGCUGAGGCGCGAAAGCGUGGGGAGCAAACAGG